CGUCUACCCACCUCGC
rnacentral:misc_RNA from 1 species